rnacentral:rRNA from 1 species
AAUCAACGCUGGCGGCGUGCCUAACACAUGCAAGUCGAACGCGAAAGUCCCGCAAGGGAUUAGUAGAGUGGCAAACGGGUGAGUAACGCGUGGGUGACCUACCUUCGAGUGGGGGAUAACGUCCCGAAAGGGACGCUAAUACCGCAUAACAUCCUGCUUUUGAAUGGGUGGAGAUCAAAGCCGGGGAUCGCAAGACCUGGCGCUUGAUGAGGGGCCCGCGUCUGAUUAGCUAGUUGGNGAGGUAACGGCCCACCAAGGCAACGAUCAGUACCCGGCCUGAGAGGGCGGACGGACACACUGGGACUGAGACACGGCCCAGACUCCUACGGGAGGCAGCAGUGGGGAAUUGUUCGCAAUGGGCGCAAGCCUGACGACGCAACGCCGCGUGGA